AAGCACCUCUUGUGUGAUGUGAUAUUUUUCUUGAUUGCCAGGCUUUGGAAAAUUAUUUAUUUACUUCGUGAUUAUUUUUUGCCCUAGAUUAUGCAUCAUGUUUAGGUAUUAUGUCAAUACAUAAUCCUACGAUACAUGGAAUUGUUUUCUAAGGUCUUGGUAGCGUGAGCAGAGUAGGAUUAGGUUGUCGUGUAAAUCAACUAUCGAUUGCUACAUCCUCCCUUUUGUUUUUGAAGGCUAAACCCUGCGGUCACUGCUGUUGUCAUCACAGAGUUCAGGCCCACGUAUCAAGUUAAUAUGCUGUCUGUCAUCGAAGCUGCCUACUAAUCUGUAAGCCUACUGGCAGGGAGACCCGAUCAUUGCUAGUGUAUGGGUGACUCGACAUUGCAGCAGGUGGAGCAGUAGUGGAUGGGGUCUUCGUGUUCAUCACAGAGGUGGAGAGGAGCUCAAACUGUUAGUGGUCAAACCAUGGGAAGGGAGCACAGAGCAAGGCCAGAAACAUGUAAGUCUGCCCACACUGAAAGUGUUCUCUUCUUUGUACCUGCAUAUUCCUUGCAGGGGUAUGCAGAUAUCAGGGUAUGCAGAUAUCAUGCAUCCUCUCUUGGGAGAAGACCAAGAAAGCCACACGGAUAAUCUGGCUUAUUGAAGUAAGCUUCUUGCCUAAUGAAGCAACCGGCAUUAGUUUUUCUGUGGCGUCGACCUUAUGUGUCGAGAAUGCAGGUGUGCCCAUCACAAAGCUUGCUCUGUACAUAUAUCUUUUUUUCUAGUGGUGCGAGUUUUCCAAAAAAAAAAUUGAAUCAUGCCUUGGUUAAUGCCAAAUAUGGACCAAUGCAUUUUGUUCCUAAAAUACUUCUCCUGCCUGUGUUGAUGGUCACAUUUUUCCUGUUUUCACUGAUGUACCUAAGAUACAUAAUCAGAGGUGUCAUCAUGUGCAUCUGAGACACACUGCACAAAUUCUCUAAAAAUAAAGAAUGUCGCUGCAACAAUUCUGUCUUCAGCAUUCAAUGUUAUGGUUUCUUCCUAAAAUACUUCUGCUGCCAAUGUCGAUGGUCACAUUUUUUCUUGUUUUCACUGACGUACUUAAGAUACAUGCCUUAUAUGUAGAUCAUAAGGGUUGUUACAUGAUUAGUUUGUACAUUUAUCCAAAUAUAUCCAUAAAAAUUUAUUCAAAAAUCUGCAUAUCAUAUCUUGUCAUUUAACAGAACAAUACAGUCUAUCUUGAUUGAUCAUUUGCUAAGAUCAUCGCCUAUCCGUGUUUAGGAUUUUAACAUUUUCUGCAAAUAAUAUCUGAAGUGGUCAUACACUACUGUUGCAUUAUUUUCAAUCUUAUUCCUCGCUUUUUAUACGUCUAUGUGUUCCUUAAUAUGAAUCCUUCGUGUGAUGCACAUAUUUACACAUGAGAUCAUGCUUAAAUCAUGGAUGCCUUAUAGCGGACUACAUACCCAUGACAAGUAGAUUUAUUUAUUUGUAAGACAAUCCAACCAGUAGAAGACAAUAACUUUCCUGUGUUUCUUAUUUGUACCUUGUACUCUCUUCUCCUGGUAGCAAUUUUUUUUGCCAUCGCCUCAUACAUAUUUUGUUUGUGGAGUAAGCUUUACUUUUAUUUGUUUCUGGGGUGUUGCUGUCGCAAACUAUUGCCGUGUU